AGCGAACGCUGGCGGAAUGCUUAACACAUGCAAGUCGCGCGGUCCGGCAACGGGCAGCGGCGGACGGGUGAGUAUCGCGUAGGAAUGUAUCCUGAGGUGGGGGACAACCCUGGGAAACUGGGGCUAAUACCGCACAUCUGCUGAGGCAGAAAGCCCGCGAGGGUGCCUUGGGAGCAGCCUGCGUCCGAUUAACUAGUUGGUGGGGUAAAGGCCUACCAAGGCUGCGAUCGGUAGCUGGUCUGAGAGGACGAUCAGCCACACUGGGACUGAGACACGGCCCAGACUCCUACGGGAGGCAGCAGUGGGGAAUAUUGGACAAUGGGCGCAAGCCUGAUCCAGCAAUUCCGCGUGGGUGAAGAAGGUCUUCGGAUUGUAAAGCCCUUUCGGCAGGGACGAUGAUGACGGUACCUGCAGAAGAAGCCCCGGCUAACUUCGUGCCAGCAGCCGCGGUAACAC
rnacentral:rRNA from 1 species